AGAGGGCUGCGCCUCGGCCGGUGACCGAGUUGAUGAGCACCGAGUUGGUGAGGAAACUAAGACCCUCAGACCAGCAACAUCGCCAUCACAUGGGAGCUUGUGAGAAAAGCAGAAUCUUGGGCUGCACUUCAGACUUUGUGAGUCAGAAUCUGUACAUCCACCACUGGGGUAGGCCAGUGGGCUCCAGCGAUUCUCAAACUGGAGUAUGCGUAAGAGUCCCUCAGAGACUAUGUUAAAACGCAGAUUUCUGGGUCCCAGCCUUAGAAAUUCUGAAUCAGUGGUUUUUAGCUAAAGUAUUUUGGCCCUCUGUAGAACUGCUUUUACCAAAAGCAAUUGAUACCAACUACUUUUUGGUAUCAUAUUGUCUGCUGAUGUUAACUGAUGCCAGAAGCAAAAUUUUCAUACCAGAUUCGAGCAAGUGUCAAAGUUUUAUUUGGCCCAGAGGUUACAAACUUUUUUGGAAAGUCCCAGAUAGCAAAUAUGUUAGGCUUUUCAGACCAUUUAGUCUGUGUCACAACUAUUCUAUUCUGCUGCAAAAGCAGCCAUAGAUGAUAUGAAAAUGACUGAGUGUGGCCAUUUUCCAAUAAAACUCAAUUAACUCCCCCUCAUUUAACUCCUAAAUUGAGCGAACCAUCGGUGGCAGUAAUGAGACCUAGUUCAGAAUGUAUUUGAGGAACGGGAUUUAAAUACUUGAAGAGAAAAGGAUUCUCUAAAACAGCUAAGUUGGGUACCAUAUGCCUGGUUAACUUUCUUUAGGGCAAUGAAACCAUACACUUUUGGGUUAACUGUUUUAAAAAGAUUUUAUUUUUUUAGGGCAGUUUUAGGUUCACAGCAAAAUGCAGUGGAAAAUAGAGAUUUCCCAUAUGGCCCCUGCCACACACAUGCACAGCCUCCCCAACUAUUAACAUCCCCCACCAGAGUGGUGCAUUUGUUACAGUUGAUGAACCUACAUUGACACAUCAUCAUCACCCAAAGUCCAUAGUUUACAUUAGAAUUCACUCUUGGUGUUGUACAUCCUCUGGGUUUGGGCAAAUGUGUAGGGACAUGUGUCUACCAUUGUAGUAUAUCAUACAGAGUAGUUUCACUGCCUUAAAAAUCCUCUGUGCUUUGCCUUAUUCAUCCCUGCACCCUAACUCCUGGCAACACUAGUCUUUUUUACUGUCUCCAUAGUUUUGCCUUUUCUAGAAUGUCAUAUAGUUGGAAUCAUUGUAUGUAGUUGUGGAGGCUAAAGCAACUCCAUCUUGGAUGCCAAUCUGCCAUGUUGACUUCUUGAUUAACCUCAAUUUAGGGAAGGCUGCUGUCUUCCAUUUUAUCUACUGUUCCUUGUGUGAGAGCUUGUACUUACUGUAAAUCCUGCCCUUAGGUCAAAAUGACCUUGACCAUAAAUUCUGCUGUAGGCAGAUUCACAUAGCGUCUUGCCUUUCCCUGUAAUUGUCCUACACAUUCCUUCCCUAUGACAUGGAAGCCCUGGGUCUGUGGGGGUCAUAGUAUGGGAAUCUAAUACCUUGUCUGGCAGCUGCCCAGGACAUUGUGGCUUCUCUUCCUAAGUCCCUAUUAAAUGUUUUUUUUUUUUUUUUUUUUUUUCCUUCCGUGAAAAACUGAAUGUCAGCUUCUUUCUUGGCCUCUUAGCUUUUGCAGACUUUAGGGGUAGAUUUCCAUAGACCUGCCCAUUGCAGAACAGUAGUCUUUUCAGACUGGCUUCUCUCUUAGUAAUAUGCAUUAUUUAAGUUUCCUCCACGUCUUUUUGGGCUUGAUGGUUCAUUUAUUUUUAGUGCCAAAUAAUAUUCCACUGCUUGGUUGUACCACAGUUAUUUAUCUAUUCACUUACCGAACAACAUCUUGGUUGCUUCCAAGUUUGGACAGUGAUUAAAAAAAGAAAAAAAAAGAAAAAAAAAGAGGCGUCUGCAGACACCCAUGUGCAGGUUUUUCUGUGGACAUAUUUUCAACUCCUUUGAAAUACCAAGGAGUAUGUUUGUUAGAUCAUAUGGUAAGAGUAUGUUUAGUUUUGUAACAAACUGCCAAACUGUCUUCUAAAGUGACUGCAACUUUUUUUCAUUUCUAACAGAAGUGAAUGUGUAAACCAAAAAAAAAA
rnacentral:lncRNA from 1 species